CCGCCGAUGCUGCGCCGCUCACCACUGCUGAACUCUGCUCCUCUCUAUCACCUUCUAACACCAUCGCCACACUAUGGCCACACCCAACCAGCCCAACGUUUCUACUAAUGCUAAGUCAAUAUGCUUAGAAUACAUGAAUGAAAGGUCUGGUUUGUUUUUAGUUUUCUACCCUCCGCUUAAGAGAAAGUGGCCAAAGGUGGCGAGUAAGAGAUGGGGUUGGAGGCCAGGGUUCAGGAAGUAUACAGUUUGGAGAUUAUCCCAAACAUUGAUGGGGAUGGCCUCGUUUAUCCACCGUAGCGCCGAGAUUCCAGGGAAGUUCUCGCUCCUUUGAACCCCGAUGUGCACGUACAACGCCAAAAACGUCUUUCCUAGCCUUGGAAAUAUAUGCUCUUCCAAAUACAUCUUCACAAUGUCAACGCUCAAUAACUGAGCUGAUCCACCCACGCCCCCCACGUCAAAAUACCAUCCACAACUCAAAUAUUCUUUAAACAAAAUGAUAAUACUAAUAAGUCAACAAAAAAAGGGGUGGGGGCAUGGGGAUCAUUAAUUACUAGGGAAGAAUUUUCCGGUAAUACGAAGGAUCUUGUGGCCUUGUUUAUAUUUGAUGCGGAUCUUGAAAAUGUCGAGUUUGUGGAAGAGGAAUUCUCGAUUAGACUAGAAAACCUGGGAUGACAGGAUUGUUGGGGUUUGUUUUGAGAAGGGGAGAAGAAGAAGAAGAAGAAGAAGAAGAUUAAAAAAAUUAAAAAAAAAAAAUAGAAAGACGCGAGGGAGAGGGAGAAUAAGAAAGAAAUUAUUUUUAAUAU
rnacentral:lncRNA from 1 species